rnacentral:rRNA from 1 species
GUAGGUGGCAAGCGUCGUCCGGAAUUAUUGGGCGUAAAGCGCGCGCAGGCGGGUCCUUUAAGUCUGAUGUGAAAGCCCACGGGCUCAACCGUGGAGGGUCAUUGGAAACUGGGGGACUUGAGUACAGAAGAGGAAAGCGGAAUUCCAAGUGUAGCGGUGAAAUGCGUAGAGAUUUGGAGGAACACCAGUGGCGAAGGCGGCUUUCUGGUCUGUAACUGACGCUGAGGCGCGAAAGCGUGGGGAGCAAACAGGAUUAGAUACCCUGGUAGUCCACGCCGUAAACGAUGAGUGCUAAGUGUUAGGGGGUUUCCGCCCCUUAGUGCUGCAGCUAACGCAUUAAGCACUCCGCCUGGGGAGUACGGCCGCAAAGGCUG